rnacentral:rRNA from 1 species
UACGUAGGGUGCAAGCGUUGUCCGGAAUUAUUGGGCGUAAAGAGCUCGUAGGCGGUCUGUUGCGUCGGCUGUGAAAACCCGAGGCUCAACCUCGGGCCUGCAGCCGAUACGGGCAGACUAGAGUUCGGCAGGGGAGACUGGAAUUCCUGGUGUAGCGGUGAAAUGCGCAGAUAUCAGGAGGAACACCGGUGGCGAAGGCGACUCUUUGGCCUGUAACUGACACUGAGGCGCGAAAGCGUGGGGAGCAAACAGG